rnacentral:misc_RNA from 1 species
UACAGAGACCUCAAGCGUUAUCCGGAAUCAUUGGGCGUAAAGCGUGCCGAUAGGUGGUUGAAAUAGUCUUGGGUGAAAGCCCGAAGCUUAACUUCGGAGUUUGCUUAAGAUACUUUUCGACUAGAGGGGCAAAGAGGUGCUUGGAACGAACGGUGUAGUAGUGAAAUGCGUUGAUAUCGUUCGGAACACCGAAAGCGAAGGCAGAGCACUGGGUGCCACCUGACACUGCUAGGACGAAAGCGUGGGUAGCGAAUGGG